rnacentral:lncRNA from 1 species
ACAAGAAAACAACACGAACACGAAAAACACAACACGAAUCUCAGGUCUACUCUACACACAAAAAUAACACACUCAAAAUGCUCAGCAACAUUAUAAAACUUAAUAAAUUAUACGUAUACAGUACUAUAUAUGUAUUUGGACAUAACGUAUAAAAAUUUACUAACAGAAUCAAGCUUAAAUUUAACAAAAGAAGUAAUUAUGAAUUGAAAUAAAAUGAUAUUAUAGUUGUUAAAAAAAUACCUGACCAAUUUUUACAAAUAGCAUUAUAAAUUGUUAA